CAGCGCCACAAGUGGGGAUCGCGAUUAUUGGGCCUAAAGCGUCCGUAGCCGGUUCUGUAAAUCCUUUGUGAAAUCGUUGGGCUUAACUCAACGGCGUGCAGAGGACACUGCGGAACUCGAGACCGGGAGGGGCCAGAGGUAUUCUGUGGGGAGCGGUAAAAUGCUAUAAUCCACAGCGGACCACCGAUGGCGAAGGCAUCUGGCCAGAACGGAUCUGACGGUCAGGGACGAAAGCUAGGGGAGCGAACCGGAUUAGAUACCCGAGUAGUCC
rnacentral:rRNA from 1 species